rnacentral:lncRNA from 1 species
AUUGAGUCAAUUCCAAGGGGAGGAAGGAGAGCGAGCCCUCCCAGCGCGAUUGAGCUGCUGCUGUUGAGGGGGGGGGGAGACCACAAAGUGAGACUAAAAGUGACACCGAAUCGGAGACUGCAGCUGGGUCUAAGGCAGUGAACGGGCAGCACUGGCUUGUUUCGCCCGCAUCUGUGCUGUUUGUAGAUGGUUGUGAUGUGCAAACGUUGGUACCGAUGACUGUGUUUGCUGUCUAUUAUAGCCACCCACCCAUCAUGCUGGACCUUCUGCAUGUAUGCUUCAUUCUAUAGCCUCUGCUGAUCACAGAAGCUGUUUGAUGUUUAACCAAGCAGUCACAGCCAGGCAGAUGCUAAAGCGAUCAGCUGUUUCUUCUUGUUUCACAAGCCCAUGGGUGGCCAGCUUUAGAAGACUUGCGGGGUCUUAUUUUAGAUGCUACACACUGACACAGGCUGCUCCUGGUCUUGACAUGCCUGAAAGAGGCCAUUUUGCUGCUCCCGGACUUUGGAACUCCUUCCCACUGGAGGCCCGGCUGGCCCCAUCUCUGCUGUCCUUCCCCAAGCAGGCCAAGAC